rnacentral:rRNA from 1 species
UGGGGAAUAUUGCGCAAUGGGCGAAAGCCUGACGCAGCGACGCCGCGCGAGGGAUGAAGGUUUUCGGAUCGUAAACCUCUGUCAGAAGGGAAGAAACCGCACUGUGCUAAUCAGCAGUGCCUUGACGGUACCUUCAAAGGAAGCACCGGCUAACUCCGUUCCAGCAGCCGCGGUAAUACGGAGGGUGCAAGCGUUAAUCGGAAUUACUGGGCGUAAAGCGCACGUAGGCUGCUUUGUAAGUCAGGGGUGAAAUCCCACGGCUCAACCGUGGAACUGCCUUUGAUACUGAAUGGCUUGAAUCCGGGAGAGGGUGGCGGAAUUCCAGGUGAAGGAGUGAAAUCCGUAGAUAUCUGGAGGAACAUCAGUGGCGAAGGCGGCAACCUGGACCGGUUUUGACGCAGAGGUGCAAAAGCGUGGGGAGCAAACAGG